CGUGGAGCCACCCACAGCCCUCCCUCAUCAUCACCACCCAUCUUCCUCCGCCCCAUCGUCUCCAAUGGACUUACUGCUUGCCCCACCCACCCCCUUUGAAGAAGAAGAAGAAGGAGAAGGAGAAAAAGGAGAAGAACGGCGACUGGAGCGGCGUGGCAGAGGGAGUGGGAAGGUGGCCUUACGCUGGGGGAAAUCCCUGCAAAAGCGAGAAAAAUACUGGCUGAUCUCGCUUCUCUGUGCCAUGGGAAGGAGGCAAGAGGACAGCAAGGGUGUGAGCACUUGGACAAUAAAGCACAAAGCGCCCGCAUUUGUGUGCUGAACUUGGAAGGCCCGCAGUGAAUCUCUAGUGGGCAAGGCUGGAAGGCCCAAUGGCCCCGAAUCAUUUGCAUCCCGAGCCCUUUGGACGAAGGUCUGAGGGAAGGAGGCACCGGCGUGCAGCUGCAGUUGCUCCAGCAAAGCUCAGCCAGCAACCCCGACCUGGUGCCUCCUGGUGGCCCACGCUAGCAUUGCAGGACUAACCGGAACCUUCAUUCAGGUCUUCAAGGCGGAGGCUCUCCAGAGUUCCAGAGACGAAAGCGUGCUUCAGGCAGGCUUCCAGGGCUGUGGAGAGACCCGGGAAUCGCCUCCUGAUUUUUCAUUUCCUC
ensembl:lncRNA